rnacentral:rRNA from 1 species
AUCAGCCUUUCGGGUGCGAUUCUGUGGAGUGUGAGGAGCUUAAACACCUUCAUGUUUUGCAUAUUCGUACUCUUGGGUGUACUUGCCCGUGUGGUUGGUUAACAUCAAUUUUGGUGGUCAUAAAAUGACUGGAGGAAUGUAGCUUCGAUCUUGUAUUGAAGUGUUAUAGCCUUCGGUAGAUGUGAUGAUCGAGAUUGAGGAUUGCAACGGAUACCCUUCGGGGCUACCUGUCUGGUCUCUGAUCGUUGCUCUGGUGCCGAAAGCUUGCUUACGGUUAUCAAAGUCGAUGGUCAAUAGGUUAGAAUGGGUUAAAUUCGUUAAGGAUGUUGACGUAAUGGCUUU